ensembl:ncRNA F15A8.10 ncRNA
AAAUGUUUCUCGAGCUCCUCGAUUGUAUCUAUUCUAUUACCUUUUUUGUGGUCAAGCACUUUGUGAACACGAAAUAGGAUGGGCGACCUAGGAUGGGAGUGAGAGAGAAGAAGAAGGAUGGUCCCAUCGACCCUGUGUGUGGGGGGGGGGGGGCUCCGACAUGAAACAAACUUCGUCAUUUUUCGAUUGCUUUUGUCCGAAUUGAAUUC